CGUUCAGGAAUCAGGAUCAGCCGUGUGUUUUGGGCCACAAAAAUUUUAAGUAUUUAAUUCCACCGCCCAUGGAUCACAACAAAACUUCUAUAUAAAGGACGUUCAGGAUCUACCCUGUACUAGCUCCUAGGUCGCGGUUUCUCUGCAACUCUAUGUGCAAACUAAUGGCGGCAGCUACGAGGGACUCCAUGUAUAUCUCUCCCCCUGUUUUAGCUUCUAUACCACCUUCAACAAAACAAAGAAACCCCACUUUGAAUCCCUGAAAUGAAGAAAAUAAUCCAUUCAAGAGAAACCCACCCAAGAUCUCAGUAGCUAUGACAGAGGUACUUGGCUGGGCCUCUUCCUUUCCCUCCCCUGGGUCUAUAGAAUCAUUGGCAAACCAAGAGAAGACCUUGUUUCCUGAGGAAGUUCCAAAUAGGGACCAAUCGAAAUGUGUUAAAUUUGUUGUUGAAAGGGUUUGGAGUAGAUUAAAAGAUGCCCCCUUGGUUGAUGUUAAGUAUCUUAAUGCAAUUGGAUACAUUGUGGAACAUCUAUUACCUUUGUUGAAUUUGAAAUCUAUAGAUGUUCAAUUUAUGAGGAUUUUGGAAUGGGUGGACUCGGCAAAAGAAGUAAUGCAAAGGCUGUCUACAAUCAAAUCUUGAGAAUGUUUCAAAGGAAGUAGCUUUCUUGCAGAUAUUAGAGAAUAAGCUUCAAAACACAAGGGUAUAGUUUCUUUGCAACAAAAGCUUAUUUAUGAUAUCUUGAGAAAGCAAAAAAGAUUCUCAUUGCUCUUCAUGAUGUGGGCAGUCAUUGAACAUUAUACGUUGGCGGAAAAGUGCAAUUGAUUUGGUCCUGGAAGUAGGAUCAUCAUAACAACUAGAGAUGAAACCAAUCUCUUCAACUCUAAGUUGUUAUAUGAACUUAAGGAAUUCCGCCUAGUAAUGUUCAAAAGAAGUUAAAGAUAAGCUAUGAUGGAUUAACAUGCACAUUGGAAACGAUAUUUCUUGAUAUUGCAUGUUUUUUCAUUGGAAUGAAUGAAGAUAUAUUGUUUUGCUUAUCAAAGCUUCUUUCUUUCAUCUAACAAGUGGAAUUAUUAUUCUCAUGUAAAAAACUAUGGAUGCAUGAUCAGCUUCGAGACAUAAGAAGAACAAUAAGUUAAGGAUGCAUGAUCAAAUUCGAGACAUGGGAAUGAUUAUAAGGUUUAGAUGCAUGAUCAGCUUCGAGACAUGGGAGAGACCCUAAGGUAUGAUGGAUGUAUGAUCAAAUUCAAGACAUGCAAAAGACCAUAAGGUAUGGAUGCAUGAUCAAAUUCGAGACAUGCAAAACAUCAUAAGAUAUCGAUGCAUGAUCAGAUUCGAGACAUGAAAAGUUCCGUGAAGUAUGGAUGAAUGAUCAGAUUCGAGACAUGGGAAAAAUUGUAAAGUAUGGAUGCAUCUGAGGAUGCAUGAUCAGAUGCGAGACAUGGAAAAUACCAUAAGGUAUGGAUGCAUGAUCAGAUUCGAGUCAUGGAAAUGACAAUAAGAUAUAGAUGUAUGAUCAGAUUCGAGACAUAAAAAAGACCAUAAAAUAUAAUUGCAUGAUCAACUUUGAGACAUAGGAAGACCAUAAAGUAUGGAUGCUUGAUCAGUUUCGAGACAUGGAAGGCAAAUGAAGGCCAUGGAGAACCCGAUAAGGGUAAUAGUUUAUGGUCUCAUGAUGAAAUCAUCGGAUGUGGGAUAAUUUUUCUGACUGUUGAUGUUCAAAAGAAGUUAAAAAGUAUGUACGAAGGAUUAACAUGCAUACGGAAACCAAUAUUUCUUGAUAUUGAUUGUCAUUUCAAAGGGAUGGAUGAAGAAAUUGUUGUUUUAUUAGUUGGAAGCUUGUCCUUGUCGUUCAAUAAUUGGACUCAAAAGUUUUCAUCCAAAAGUCCCUUGUAUAGGGUGAUCAUGAGUUGUGGAUGCACGAUCAACUUCAAGACUUCAGAAUACAAGUGGUCUAUAAAGAAAGCCUUGAAGAUGCCAUGGAGACGGGAGGACACAUGGAUUAACCAUUGAAGAAAUUCUCCAUAACUCCAAGGAGAGGCAUCGAUGGGCAUUAAACAUUUCCUAAUUAGUGGUGCACAGCUGGUGGGAUGGAUUUUGCAUCUAUCUUACCCUAAAUAGGUUAAGAUGGCAUGGUUUGCAAAAUGUCCUCUGGAAAUUUUUCCAUCAUGAUAAACUAGUGAUCCUCAACUUACCCUACAGGAAUGUUUUAAGGAAAGAUGACUGAAGAGUUGAAAGUUGUUGACCUAAGAGGAUGUUUAUACCUAAAUGCAACUCAUGGCUUGUUAUUGUUUCCAUCAUUGAUUAGUUGUACAUGAAAUUUUGAGAUUCCCAAAAGAGACUCUUUUGCGGAGACUUCUUUGCUUGAAUCUCUGAUCAUACAAGCAAACUCUUGGGAAUCCCUGUUAGUGUUUGUAAGUGGUGCUCUUAAAAAAUCUUUGUUUCUGGAUGCAAAUCAAUAACCAAAUCCAGAUAUUAGUAUUUGUAAGUGGUGCAUAUCAUCACUAACCAAGUCAAAUGUUGAAGCAGAAGAUUUGAAGAACUACAAAUUAGUAUUUGUUUAGUGUGCUGAUGCAUCAUGCAUGGCUGUACUUAAUUCCUUUAUAAUGAUGCAUUUUUGUAGUUUACUGAA